UACGUAGGGUGCGAGCGUUAAUCGGAAUUACUGGGCGUAAAGCGUGCGCAGGCGGUUGGCAAAGUCAGCUGUGAAAGCCCCGGGCUUAACCUGGGAAUGGCGGUUGAAACUAGUCGACUCGAAUCUGGCAGAGGGGGUGGAAUCCACGUGUAGCAGUGAAAUGCGUAGAGAUGAUGGAGGAACACCGAUGGCGAAGGCAGCCCCCUGGGCUGAGAUUGGACGCGCUCGAGGCACGAAAGCGUGGGAGCAAACAG
rnacentral:rRNA from 1 species